GGAGAUGUAGCUCAAUGAUACAUCACCUGAUUAGCAUACUGGAGACCCUGGGUUCAAUUCCCAGCAGCCCUA
rnacentral:tRNA from 1 species